UACGUAGGUGGCAAGCGUUAUCCGGAAUUACUGGGUGUAAAGGGCGCGCAGGCGGCCCUGCAAGUCGGAUGUGAAAGAUCAAGGCUCAACCUUGACAGGCCAUUCGAAACUGUGGGACUUGAGUGUCAGAGGGGAAAGUGGAAUUCCUAGUGGAGCGGUAAAAUGCUCAGAUAUUAGGAGGAACACCGGUGGCGAAGGCGGCUUCCUGGCACAAUACUGACGCUCAUGUGCGAAAGCUAGGGCAGCGAACGGGAUUAGAUA
rnacentral:rRNA from 1 species